UACAGAGGGUGCGAGCGUUAAUCGGAAUUACUGGGCGUAAAGCGUGCGUAGACGGCUAUCUAAGUCGGGUGUGAAAGCCCCGGGCUCCAACCUGGGAAUUGCAUUUCGAGACUGAAUAGCUAGGGUACGGUAGAGGGAAGUGGAAUUUCCGGUGUAGCGGGUGAAAUGCGUAGAUAUCGGAAGGAACAUCAGUGGCGAAAGCGACUUCCUGGACCAGUACCGACGUUCAGGCACGAAAGCGUGGGGAGCAA
rnacentral:rRNA from 1 species